AACCUGGUAGCUUAGUUGGUAGAGCAACAGGGCGUAAACCUGAAAGACCUGGGUUCGUAUCUAAGUCGAGGUUG